AACGAACGUUAGCGGCGCGCUUAACACAUGCAAGUCGAACGAGAAAGGGCUUCGGCCCCGGUAAAGUGGCGCACGGGUGAGUAACACGUGGGUAACCUUCCCUUGAGCGGGGGAUAACAUUCCGAAAGGAGUGCUAAUACCGCAUAAGACCACGGCCUCGAAAGAGGUUGAGGUUAAAGCAGGCCUCUGUACACAAGCUUGCACUCAAGGAUGGGCCCGCGGCCCAUCAGGUAGUUGGUGGGGUAAAGGCCUACCAAGCCUAAGACGGGUAGCUGGU
rnacentral:rRNA from 1 species